rnacentral:rRNA from 1 species
GAUGAACGCUGGCGGCGUGCCUAAUACAUGCAAGUCGAGCGAACAGAUAAGGAGCUUGCUCCUUUGACGUUAGCGGCGGACGGGUGAGUAACACGUGGGUAACCUACCUAUAAGACUGGGAUAACUUCGGGAAACCGGUGCUAAUACCGGAUAAUAUUUCGAACCGCAUGGUUCGAUAGUGAAAGAUGGUUUUGCUAUCACUUAUAGAUGGACCCGCGCCGUAUUAGCUAGUUGGUAAGGUAACGGCUUACCAAGGCGACGAUACGUAGCCGACCUGAGAGGGUGAUCGGCCACACUGGAACUGAGACACGGUCCAGACUCCUACGGGAGGCAGCAGUAGGGAAUCUUCCGCAAUGGGCGAAAGCCUGACGGAGCAACGCCGCGUGAGUGAUGAAGGUCUUCGGAUCGUAAAACUCUGUUAUUAGGGAAGAACAUACGUGUAAGUAACUGUGCACGUCUUGACGGUACCUAAUCAGAAAGCCACGGCUAACUACGUG